AUAUAUAUAUAUAUAUAUAUAUAUAUAUAUAUAUAUAUAUAUAUAUAUAUAUAUAUAUAUAUAUUGUUUCGGAUUGUCGGAGUCUUCCUCUACAAUUUCCGGGCUUGGACACUCUCCUACCGUCCACUCUGUCUCUUAUCUUCUGCUGUCCGUCUUGACCGGCCGGGUACCUGCUAAAAGUACUCCGACGCUCAAGUCAGUUCUUAGUUUUGUUUAUAGAGAUAGAAAGAGAAAGUUAUCAAGUAGCAUAAAUGCACAAUAAAUGUUCCUACCUACUGUUACCUUUGACCUCUAUUUACAGUUUUCCAGAUGGGCCGAGGAUUAGCCUUCUUUAAUCACGGCCCAAGAUCGGGCCCAAUGCUCUUAAUCCUACUUAGCUUGACAUUAAUUAGUGACCUGAUCUUUCCUCGUUCAUUGUCAUUAAAUGAUCCCGCGUCGUUCAGUGAAGCCGUCCGGUCAUGCCGGACGAACUCAAAGAAGUGUCGUCAGGAGGGUUCGCUAUGGAGCGGUCAGUCAGUUGUCCGGACGUCCCCCCUAAUGUACAGGGCCGGACGUCCUCCCUGGUACAGAGGCCCCCCAAGCCUGAAGUGACAAAGUAACUGAAAGGCUGAGAGUGGGGAGACGGUUGCGAUUUUUAAGGGGGCACUAGGCGGGAAAAGACACGUGUUCUCCUGUCACUGGUCAUUUUGAGUGGUGGAGUGAACCGUCGCGAAUCUGGGCCGUCGAUGUGCUUUGAAUCGAACGGUGGGUAGUGCAUGAGGAUUUUCAAAAAUUGGCUAUAAAUAGGGGUGGGGAAGGGUCGCUGCUAACUCCUUACUUCUCUCUUUUUACUGCUUCAGAAUUUCGACCUUCAGGUAAUAAAUGGCUGCGUUUAGCGUUUACUCAUCGGAGGAGUCGUCGGGUCGUGGCGGCGGAAGCGUGGCGGGAAGGACCGGUGGCGUCCCUUUGGAAAGGGAACAGGUGGAGGUUAGGGCAGGGGGUGCUUCGUCUCCGAGUUCGGCCUCUUCGUCGUUUCUGGAUGCGCAUCAGGAUGAGAGCUCAGUUCCGCCUUCUCCGGACGGAGAUUGAUUGGUUAAUGGUUACGGCAUAUUUUUGCUCAAGGGGGGAGUACAGAUUGAUCGCGAGUCGGCCGAGCCGGCCGGGGGAUGGCCUCGCAUCCGGGGUUAUCGGUGGGCCUCCCCUGAAGUAGGUGAGUUUACCUCAAAUUUUGGGACUCACGAUGAACUGUCGUGGUGGGCGAAUCGGUCCUACAUCGCCUGGGCGUCAGUCAUCCGAACGAGCGCGUAUACCAUGGGAAGGGUUCCAGCACCGAGGACUUCUUCUUCGUGUAUACGUACAUGUUUGAGCUAAUGUACGUCAGAGUGCCGUUCACCGAUUUUCAGGCGUCCGUCCUCAAGGAAUUGAAAAUAGCUCCCACCCAACUUCAUCCGAACGGGUGGGCGGCCAUGCAAGCCUUCACAUCCUUGUGUGCGGCGGUUGGAUUAGUACCCAUGGUUCGGGUAUUUCUUCACUACUUCAACGUCCGUCCUUCCCCUCGACGAGGAUGAGUAUCCCUAUCCUCUGUACAUGAUCACACUCUUUUUAAGCCGUUUUCCGAUUCUUUACAAAAAUUUCAAGACAAGAUAUUUCAAAAUAAUAAUUAAGGAGUCCGGCAAGUCGGAGUUUUUUGACGCCGAAGGCACUCCUCGGUUCCCUUUUUAUUGGACAGAGGAUCCUCCCAAAAUAAGGGUGUAUGGUGUAACCCGUAUGAAUAAUUUGGAGCGCGACGCCGUUCGGAUCAUAAAGGACCUUCCCCGUCGCCUCAACGCCCGCGGCUUCGUCGACUGCCUGAAAUACGAGGACUAUGACCAAAUUGCCUUUGGUAUGCUUAUGGCCAGUUCGGCUUCCUUAUGUUCAUUUUUGACUUAGCUAAAUUCUUGUUUUCUUUUCAGGAUAUAUGUCACUAUCGGAGCCUCGCCAGUCUGGAUGGCUUGCGUCCACUCAACGGCGCAAGGGGAGCAACUCGAAAGGUGUUGCACAACCGUCCGCGGCCUCCAGUCGGGCGACGUCGUCCGGGAUACCUACCGGCAUACCUGUAAAGGUGAAGGUGGUGGACCCCGUGACAGUGGUUCGCCUUGAAAAGGUGUUGGUUGGUUCUGCGCCAAAGAAAGUCCAACUGGACCCCGCUUUUGUCACAUUGGUCAAUUCUUCUGAGUCUCCUCCGGAUUCGGCCAUUCCCCUCGAGCGGAAGAGAAAAACUAAGGAUGAAGGGAAGUCCUCCUCCAAACGUCAUCGUCGCAGUGGAAGUUCUUCACUUCAUCCCCUACCGGCCGGUGUCUUCAACAUUGCCUUUGACGCGGCAUCAAAGAUAGAGUGUCGGCCCAACUCCUCUCAAUUGGCAGUCAUUGAGCCAUUAUCUAAAGAAGAUUUGCUGGGGGCGGCCGUGGAGCAGAUGAGUCGGGGCGUUAUGCUGGCUCGUAGAGCUCGUGAACACAGUAAGGGUCGUGAGGCUCGGGAGUUGCUCCGCGAGUUGGCGGAUGAACAGAAUGUUUCCGCCAGUCUUCGUCGUUGCGUGGAGGCGCUGGCGAAGGACCAUGAGCAUUGCUCUAAGACGCAAACCAAGUUGCAAGCGAACUUGGACACUGUUGCUUCUAAACUGGCUGCAGCGAACAAGUCCUUAGCGGACACCAAGGUGGUGGAGGAUGGUCUAAGAGAAGAUGUCGAGAAGGAAAAGUUGGAGGUCCGCCGGUUGGCCAAGAGGGGAGGCGAAUUGGCCGAACAGAGCGAGCGACUAUCCCAAGAUCUUUUGGCCGCCAAUGCCGACAAGAAGCGUCUUGAGACCGAGCUGAAGGAGGCGAAGGAAGCUUUCGACAAGCUGGACGCCACCGUGAUCGACGAGCACGAAGAAGGGUUCAAUAAGGCUCUUCGUCAAGUGCAAUAUCUUCUUAAGGUAGAUCCGGUUGCUGCUGGGUUCGACUUGUACAAGGACGUUUAUCGGGGCGAGAUGCGACCAGUGGAGGGGGCUUUAAAUGAUGAAACCGUCGUGGGAACGGACGACGAGCCUGCUGUUGAGGCCGACCCAGGAGUUUGAUCUUUUUAAACAUUGUAUUUUUUGGUCCGUGAGGUCGACUUGCAAACAUUUAGGCGUAGCUUUUGUUUGUGUGGUCGACCCGUCCGGCUUUUUGCUAUACUUUGACAGUAUAAUGAAUUUGGUUUGUUUUAUGGUUAUGUUAUUUUAUUUUUUGUUGUCUUGUUAGCUUUGUUAUUUAUAAGUACUAUCGGCCCGUGCUGGUUUGCUCGGGUUGGAUUUUUGGUCAGAUGGAUUCCGUGCGGCGACGGACCCCUUAGUGGGAUGGAUCCCUUGGCGGGACGAAUCCCUUAUGAAUGAUUUGGGACGGAUCCCUGUUUAUUAGAGACGGAUCCCUUCAACUUAUUUGGGAAGGAUCCCUUAGUUAUGGUCAGCUUUUCCGGCAAAGUACUCGAAAUUGGAUGAAAAAGACGACUUUUCAUUUAAGGAUUCAUAGAAAGAGUACAUCGGCUAAACAUGAUUAACUGAAGUAAAACUUUAAGUGUGUUGCAUUCCAUGUAUUGCGAAGGAGCUUUCCAUCCGGCCGAGCAAGGCGAUAAGCUCCGUUCUUUAGCGUUGCGACGACUCUGAAGGGGCCUUCCCACUUGGCUGCCAAUUUUCCAUGUUGAGGCGCGCGCUUGGCUUCCCCGGUCUUCCUCCAGACGAGGUCGCCCUCUUGAAAUUCUCGGGAGCGGACCUUAGUGUUGUAUCGACGCUCGAUUAGCCGUUUACAAGCCUCAGCUCUGAGCGCCGCCCGAUCGCGACGUUCGUCGAUGGUAUCGAGCUCCACCCUUAACACCUCAUCGUUUAUCUGCAUGUCAUCGAGCCUCCUGCGCAGUGAUGGUUCGCCCAAUUCGACCGGCAGCAUGGUGUCAGUCCCAUAAGUUAAAUUAAAGGGGGUUUUUCCCGUGGUGCAUUGCGGUGUGCAUUUAUAGCCCCACAAUACUUCUGGCAAUUCCUCUACCCAGGCCGAUUUCUUCUCUCCCAACCUCCUUUUUAAUUCCGCCACUAUGGUUUUGUUGACGGCUUCGACCUAGCCGUUCGUUUGGGGGUGUUCUACCGAACUGGUGAAAUGCUUGAUACCCAAGUUAGUGUAGAAUUCCUCCAGUUUUCUAUCGAUGAAUUGUCGGCCGUUAUCUGUUAUUAUAACUUUGGGAAGGCUGAAUCUGCAUAUUAUUUUCCUGCAAAACUUCUGAACCUGCCCGACAGUGAUGGAUGCCAGGGGCUCUGCCUCGACCCAUUUGGUGAAAUAAUCCACCGCGACUAGGAGAAAUCGUUUCUGACCCUGGCCUUGGGGAAAAGGUCCGACGAUAUUCAUUCCCCAUUAGGCAAACGGCCACGAGGAGGUAAUGGAAUGGAGCGUGUGCGGGGGAGCUCGAGUGUCGUUGGCAUGGGCUUGGCAACUGAGGCAACGUUGCGUGAAAGUUCGGGUAUCGUCCUCCAUUGUCGGCCAGUAGUAUCAGGCUCUUAGGAUGCGGGCUUUCAACGUUCUCCGUCCAGAAUGAAAUCCGCACACCCCAUUGUGAAGCUCGUUCAUCACGUACUGAGCUUCCUCCGGUGAUAAGCAUUUCAGCAGCGGAGUGGAGAAACCUCUUUUGUAUAAGUCGUCCCCGAUUAUUAUAAACCGGGCGAUCUUCUUUGAUUCGGAUGAAUCUACUGAUAGUUCAUCCUCUUGCCUUUUUAUCAAUCUUCUUAUCUCAUCUUGCCAGUCGUUACUGGCCGAAGUUAUGGCGUAACAUUCUACGAAAGGCUGGAGCAAGACCUGGUGGAUAACAGUUGUAAGUUGACCCUUUUCUUUGCCAGAGCUGAGUUUAGACAACAUGUCGGCCCGCGUAUUCUGCUCUCGGGGGAUAUGUUGGAUCACAACCUUUUCGAAGGUCUCCACUAAGGAUGUCGCGCGGUGAAAAUACUUCAGCAGAUGGUCCUCCUUCACCUGAAAUUCCCAAUUCAUCUGCCCCACGACCAGUUGCGAAUCCGUCCGACACACCAUAUUUCGUGCUCCCAUAUCCUUUGCAAGCCCUAACCUGGCCACCAGAGCUUCAUAUUCAGCAUGGUUAUCGGAUGUUUUGAACUUAAAUACCAGCGAGUAUUCAAGCAAAAAACCGUUCGGUCCUUCCAAAACUAUUCCGGCCCCACUGGCCUGUCGUCCGGACGCUCCGUCAACGUAAAGGGUCCAUUGAUCACUCCCGAACACAGGCAACUCAGUUGCGAAGUCAGCAAGAUGUUGGCCUUUAAUGGAACCCCUCAGUUCGUACCGGAGACCAAAUUCUGAUAACUCGACGGCCCAACCCACCAUUCGUCCGGCCAGAUCAGGUUUCCUUAGCACCUUAGCCAUUAGAUGAUUUGUUCUGACGACCACUUGGUAUCCCUGGAAAUAUUGGCGAAGUCUGCGGGAGGUGUGGAGGAGCGCCAGCGCCACCUUUUCUACUUGCUGGUAACGGACCUCCGUCUCCUGAAGCGUGCGACUGACAAAAUAUAUAAGUUUUGGGGAAGGUUCUUCCUGUGUUAGGACCGCACUGAUCGCCGUGUCGGACACCCCCAAAUAUAUUUGCAACUCAUAGCCUGGUAUUGGUCUGUUCAUGACGGAGGGGUUCAUCAGAAUCUCUUUCACUUCAGCAAAUGCUUGCUCGCACUCCGCGUCCCAUUUUCCCGGGGCAUCCUUUUUCAUUUUCUUGACGAUCGACCGAAUUCGUUCGGCUAAUUUCGGAACGAAACGGGAUAGUGCUGUCAACCGACCGACCAACCUCUGGAUGUCCUUGAGCGUGCUGGGGCUUGCCAUCUUCAACACGGCUUCGCACUUGUCGGGGUUGGCUUCGAUUCCCCGGGAGGUAAGCAUAAAACCUAGGAAUUUCCCCCCGGCUACGCCGAAGGUACAUUUCGCCGGGUUUACCCGCAUGCCAUACCUCCUGAUCUGAGUGAAUACUUCUUCCAAAUCGUGCAAAUGUUGUUCAUCAUCCGGCGACCGAACAACCAUGUCGUCGAUGUAGAUGUCCAUGCAUCAUCCUAUUUGUUCGGAGAAGACCCUGUCCAUCAAUCGCUGGUACGUGGCCCCAGCGUUUUUCAAGCCGAACGACAUUACUUCAUAACAGAAGUUGGCCUUCUCCGUCAUGAAAGCGGUCUUCUCACGAUCUGGUGCGUACAUGGGGAUCUGGUUGUAUCCGGAAUACGCGUCCAAGAAACUCAGCAUCCGGUGCCCGGAUGCCCCAUCGACCAACGCGUCGAUGCUCGGAAGUGGGUAAGAGUCCUUGGGGCACGCCUUGUUUAAGUCCGUGUAAUCUGUACGCAUCCGUCAUUUGCCGUUUGACUUCUUUACCAUGACCACAUUGGCCAACCAUGUGGUGUAUGUGAUCUCUCGGAUGAAGUCGGCUUCACAUAACUUCCUGGCUUCUUCGUUUACUGCUUUCCUUUUCUCUUCUCCCAUUUUUUGCUUCUUCUGGGAUAUUGGCCGAGCGUUCCUUACUAAGGCCAGCUUAUGGGACGCAACGGACGGAUGGAUACCCGGCAUGUCUGCCGCCGUCCAUGCGAAAAGGUCCCGGUUUCGCCAUAAAAUGGCCCUCAAUUGCUUCUCUGUCGCGGAUUCCAUCCCCGUGGCUAUAGAGGUGGUUUGCGAGGGAUCCCGUCUAAUCAUGACGGGCUGCGUUUCUCCUAGAGGCUCCAGGCGGUCCUCAGUAUUAGUCCUUGGGUCCAAAUCAGCCAUAGCCACCUCCGAUCUAGACACUUUUCGUCGGUUUUCCUGUGGAUAUAUCCGCAGACUGGCUGCAUAGCACUCCCGGGCGGUUUUCUGGUUUGCCCGUAUAGUGCAGAUUGUUACCCGGUGGGUUGGGUAUUUCAUGGUGAGGUGCGGCGUGGACACUAUAGCUCCGAAAGCAUUCAGGCACGGACGUCCUAAGAGGAUGUUAUAGGCCGUGUUAGCCUCCACUAACAAGUACCUUAUGUUCAUUUCCUCGCUCUCCCUUCCAGUACCCAGGCGGGUCCGCAAAUCAACAUACCCUCUCGUGUCCACCCGCUCCCCGGCAAAACCUACUAUUUGUUAGUUGUAUGGUACCAUGAGGUCUUCCGAUAUGUCCAUCUGGGAGAAGGUCUUCCAGUAAAGGAUAUUAACUGAGCUCCCCUGGUCGACAAGCACUUUGCUGAUUUCGUAGCGUGCGAUUUCUACAGUUAUCACCAUCGGGUCGUCCUGGUCCAGGUCCGGCGUGUGGAAGUCUUCGUCCGUAAAGGUGAUGGGGGGCAUGGUUCGUUUUGGGACAUCUACCGCAUGUAUAGACCGUAACGUCCGAAUGCUCCUUUUCCUUGCCGAGGAGGUGGGUCCCCCUCCCACGAAUCCUCCUGAUAUCGUAUUUAUUACCCCCCGUAACGGCCGUCUCCUAUCUCCGUCCCUACUGCGACUUCGGCUUCUCUCCUGCCGGUCAUCCGUCGUGGGCCUAUGAGUUCGCACGUUCGUAUUUCGUUCUUGCUUUCUGGGGCUCCUGGGCCUGUGGCUUCGUCUCGGGCUCGUCCGCCGGGGACUGGACGGCCUAUCGGUAUACUGGUCGGAGGCGUUUAUCAUUAUGAACCACUGCAGACGUCCCGCGCGGAUCAAUUCUUCGAUCUUAUCUCUAAGUGUCACGCAUUCCUCCGUGUCGUGGCCCGAAUUCUGGUGGUAUAAGCAUCGUUUGGUCAGGUCCGCUCCCGGAGGAGUCGGACGCCUUAGAGGGGUUUGCCCGGAGGAGUCGGACGCCUUAGAGGGGUUUGCAUGAUCUGCGCACUCAACGCCUCUUGCAAUAUCCGAGCCCUAGGAGUGUUGAGCGUGGUAUAUUGUUGAAAACGUGGGCCCCUUGGUCCCUCUCUACUCUUUUGCCCGCUCCGACUUCCCUGACCGUUCGUCUUCUUUCCUUCAUUCUUAUCCAUCCUAGCCUCCUGAGCAUCUUUCUGAUAUUGUUGUUUCAUAUUUUCUACCCUGGCUUCAUCGGCCGCUCUCUGUCUAAGCUCCUCCAUCGUUCGAGGAGGGUUCUGGCAGACACUGUCCUUAAACGGCCCUGGCCUGAGGGCCGGCAUUACGUACUGGAGGGCGAGUUCCAGGCCAAGCCCUUUUACUCUCCGUACCGUUUUCUGGUACCUAUCCAUAAAGACUUUCAAUGGUUCCUCCUUCCCUUGUCUAAGAUUCAUCAAAUCCACCACAGUCACAUCCUCCGCGUUGCAGGCAGCAAAUUGUUUUUUGAGCAUCUCUCCCAGACUCUUGAAGUUCUCAAUGGAGUUGACCGACAAUAAGUUAAACCAUUCUAAGGCCUCACCCUCCAAGGAUAAAGAAAAUGCCCGACACCAAAUGGCGUUGCAGCCCAUACGGAAGGUCAUGGCAUUGAUGAACGACUUCACGUGGGCGGUCGGGUCAGACGUCCCGUCAUACAUCUUGAACUGAGGGGGUACGAACUGCUCUGAUAUGUGUACUUCCAUAAUUUCCCGCACGAACGACACCAUGGUGGUCGACUCUUCCACUUUUACCAAUGACCGGCUAUCCUUGUUCCCCUUCUCCUCUCUUCCCUCCGUCCGAGCACCACUAUUCUCCCCUUCCAACGGUAUCUGCUGCUCUCCUGCCCCCUCUCCCUGCUCACCACCGAUCGCCCCGUCCUUAUUCUUCGCGAUCUGAGCCAAACACUCUGCCCUCACUGCCGCCAUCUCCUCCUUGUGCUUUCGUUGCAUUUCCAUCAUCCUUUGCUCCAUCAUCCUCAGCAUCUCCGUCGGAUCUUCGGUGCUAUUGUUUCUUGUGGUCACCAUUGGGUAUAAUCCUCCGGCCCCAGGUGGGCGCCAAACAGUUUCGGAUUGUCGGGGUCUUCCUCUACAAUUUCCGGGCUUGGACACUCUCCUACCGUCCACUCUGUCUCUUAUCUCCUGCUGUCCGUCUUAACCGGCCGGGUACCUGCUAAAAGUACUCCUACGCUCAAGUCAGUUCUCAUUUCUGUUUAUAGAGAUAGAAAGAGAAAGUUAUCAAGUAGCAUAAAUGCACAAUAAAUGUUCCUACCUACUGUUACCUUUGACUCUAUUUAUAGUUUUCCAGAUGGGCCGAGGAUUAGCCUUCUUUAAUCACGGCCCAAGAUCGGGCCCAAUGCUCUUAAUCCUACUUAGCUUGACAUUAAUUAGUG
rnacentral:lncRNA from 1 species